AACGAACGCUGGCGGCAUGCCUUACACAUGCAAGUCGAACGAGAUCUUCGGGUCUAGUGGCGCACGGGUGCGUAACGCGUGGGAAUCUGCCCUUUGGUUCGGAAUAACAGUUGGAAACGACUGCUAAUACCGGAUGAUGACGAAAGUCCAAAGAUUUAUCGCCAGAGGAUGAGCCCGCGUAGGAUUAGCUAGUUGGUGUGGUAAAGGCGCACCAAGGCGACGAUCCUUAGCUGGUCUGAGCGGAUGAUCAGCCACACUGGGACUGAGACACGGCCCAGACUCCUACGGGAGGCAGCAGUGGGGAAUAUUGGACAAUGGGCGAAAGCUUGAUCCAGCAAUGCCGCGUGAGUGAUGAAGGCCUUAGGGUUGUAAAGCUCUUUUACCCGGGAUGAUAAUGACAGUACCGGGAGAAUAAGCUCCGGCUAACUCCGUGCCAGCCGCCGCCGUAA
rnacentral:rRNA from 1 species